rnacentral:tRNA from 1 species
ACCUGGUUGGCUCAGUCAGUAGAGCAUGAGACUCACUCUGGAUCUCAGGGUUGUGAGUUCAAGCCCCACAUUGGGUG